UACAGAGGUCCCAAGCGUUGUUCGGAUUUACUGGGCGUAAAGGGUGCGUAGGUGGUCAGGUAAGUCUGAUGUGAAAUCUUCGAGCUCAACUCGAAAACUGCAUCGGAUACUAUCUGACUAGAGGAAUGGAGGGGAGACUGGAAUACUUGGUGUAGCAGUGAAAUGCGUAGAUAUCAAGUGGAACACCAGUGGCGAAGGCGAGUCUCUGGACAUUUCCUGACGCUGAGGCACGAAAGCCAGGGGAGCAAACGGG
rnacentral:rRNA from 1 species